rnacentral:rRNA from 1 species
GUCCACGCCCUAAACUAUGAUUACUCGAUGUUAGCGAUAUACAGUUAGCGUCCAAGCGAAAGCGUUAAGUAAUCCACCUGGGGAGUACGACCGCAAGGUUGAAACUCAAAGGAAUUGACGGGGGCCCGCACAAGCGGAGGAGCAUGUGGUUUAAUUCGAUGGUACGCGAGGAACCUUACCUGGGCUUGAAAGUUAGUGAUCGGUUGUGAAAGCAGCUAUUCCGCAAGGACACGAAACUAGGUGCUGCAUGGCUGUCGU